UGGUGUGACAAUAUGUUACCUAGUUGUAUGAAUCGGCAUAUUGCAUAUGAAACUAGUAGUGCGAAUUGCAGCAAAGAAUGAUGUUGGAGCGAAGAAUGAGGUUGUUGAUUUCAUAGACAAGGAACGUUGGUUUGGUUUGGUUUGGUUGGUCCAAAGAACGUUUGGUUGGUCAUACUCAUAGUCACUGCCGUGGUGAAUCAAUCUUACAUUCCUAGUUUCAGACUUCCAAAUCUAACGGUCAAAUCUAACAUUACAGCACCAUAAUACAUAUUUUAUUUUUUUUCUACUCUUUGGAGUUUACUACAACAUCUCAAAUUGUUGCUUGGAACAUUCGGAGAUUAAGUUUUUCUGUCUCACCCACACAGGGUGGAGCUCAAUCUCAUCCAUUGGUGAAAUUGAAGGGCAAAAAAAAAGACAUGAUUAAGAAUUAUGAAACCAUGGACCUCAGAGUUUGGUGUGAGACACAAGAAUGAACGAAAGAAGAAGUCUUCUAGGACCUGAAGCCUGAAGGUGUUGGUCCGGAUUAUUUGCAGAAUUCGCAGUCAGACGUCAAGAUAGUGCUCAUCUGGGAUCCAUAAAUUAUUAACUCAUUAGCCACGACAUACUCUGUUGCAGUCGUUGCCAAGUUAAUUUCAUCAAUAAAGGCACUUUUCUAUUUACUAAUUUUUUAAAUUUAACUCCUCUGAAAUAAUAAUAAGUUGAUAAAGUGUGUGUAUUCA